GACUGAAGUGCUUCACUGCUCCCAAAGCAGUUUAAAGUGAAGCAGAGAAGCAUCUGAACGGCCUGUCUACAGCCAGAUUAAUCACAGUGAAGAUGCUACUGACUCCACUGUUGAUCACGCUGCUGCUCCCACUUCAAGGAUCAGAUGGCAGUCCCUCUGUGAAUCAGUCUCCGGUAUCAAAGUCUGCUGGUUUGGGAGAGACGGUCUCUCUGAGCUGUACAGCCAGUUCAGGAGUUGAUGAUGAUCUCAGCUGGUACCUGCAGAAACCUGGACAGCCUCCCAAACUGCUGUUUUAUAAAAUCAGCAGACGUAAAUCUGCCCCGAAUCAUUUCAGCAGCAGUGGAUCUGAGCCUGAAUUCACUCUGACAAUCAGUGGAGUUCAGGCUGAUGAUGCAGGAGAUUAUUACUGUAUGGGUGCGUAUGCAGAAGGGUUCACACAGUGAAACAGAGUCGUACAAAAACCUCCUUCAGUCAGACCACAAAGUGUUGAAAGAGCAGCAGCUGUGAGUUUCUGCAGCAGACUCUGAGAUGGAUGACUGGUCCACUGAAGAGUCAGAGCUGGAUACAAAGUACAUUCACACAAGCUCAGAAGUUAAGAAGCUUUAAAAAGAAUUCACAGUGAUUAUUUAUCUCAAGACAUUUUAGUUAUUUCCCCCAGCCUUCAGUUCACUUCUUUAAUACUUUUCUUAAAAGUUGUCUCUUUGUAGUUAGAAAAUAACUCCUAAUGAAAAAUUGAGCAUAAAAAAUAUAAACACUUUUAUUUUCAUAAAUAAGUACUGAAUAUCCAGUUAAAACACAGACCACUACAUUAAG